CGGGACGGUGAUAUGUCUAGGAAACUGCCUGAUGGGAGGGGAUAACUACUGGAACGGUAGCUAAUACCGCAUAACGUCGCAAGACCAAAGAGGGGGACCUUAGGGCCUCUUGCCAUCGGAUGUGCCCAGAUGGGAUUAGCUAGUAGGUGGGGUAACGGCUCACCUAGGCGACGAUCCCUAGCUGGUCUGAGAGGAUGACCAGCCACACUGGAACUGAGACACGGUCCAG
rnacentral:rRNA from 1 species